UACGUAGGUGGCAAGCGUUGUCCGGAUUUACUGGGCGUAAAGAGCGCGCAGGCGGUCGAAUAAGUCGAAUGUGAAAGCCCCCGGCUUAACUGGGGAGGGUCAUUCGAUACUGCUCGACUUGAAGGCAGGAGAGGGUAGUGGAAUUCCCGGUGUAGUGGUGAAAUGCGUAGAUAUCCGGAGGAACACCAGUGGCGAAAGCGGCCACCUGGACUGUACCUGACGCUCAAACGCGAAAGCGAGGGGAGCGAACGGG
rnacentral:rRNA from 1 species